AAGAGACAAAAUAUUAGGUAAUUCAGUUAUUAAAUAUAUGCAUUUUGGCCAGGCGCAGUGGCUCACGCUUAUAAUCCCAGCACUUUAGGAGGCCGAGGUGGGUGGAUCACUUGAGGCCAGGAGUUCAAGACCAGCCUGGCCGACAUGGUGAAACCUUGUCUCUACUAAAAAUACAAAAAUUAGCUGGGCGUGGUGGCAUACACCUGUAAUCCCAACUACUCGGGAGGCUGAGGCAGGAGAAUUGCUUGAACCUGGGAGGCAGAGGUUGCAGUGAGCCGAGAUCCCGCCAGUGCACUCCAGCCUGGGUGAUAGAGUGACACUCUGUCUCAAAAAACAAGAAAAAAUAUAUAUGCAUCUUAGUUCAAAUCAUUUUUUGGAAGUUUCACUCCUCCAUUGCUCAUUGUAAAUAUAUCUGUUACACUGGAAUGGGAGUUAUCUGUCUACUGUGUUGAGUUUUAAUCUCCUUUGCUGGUUUGUCAUUAUAUCUUCAAUGUUUGACCCCAUGGGAAAACUUAAUAAAUACUUCUCAUGAACAUUUCCACC
rnacentral:lncRNA from 10 species